rfam:Cavia porcellus supercont2_3 genomic scaffold, whole genome shotgun sequence.
AGGGAUUUAGUUCAGUGGCAUAAGCGCCUGCCUUACAAGCAGGUAGUCGUGGGUUCGAUUCCCCGGUACCUA